rnacentral:rRNA from 1 species
UACGUAGGGUGCAAGCGUUGUCCGGAAUUAUUGGGCGUAAAGAGCUUGUAGGCGGUUUGUCGCGUCUGCUGUGAAAUUUCGGGGCUCAACCCCGAACUUGCAGUGGGUACGGGCAGACUAGGGUGUGGUAGGGGAGACUGGAAUUCCUGGUGUAGCGGUGAAAUGCGCAGAUAUCAGGAGGAACACCGAUGGCGAAGGCAGGUCUCUGGGCCACUACUGACGCUGAGAAGCGAAAGCAUGGGGAGCGAACAGG